rnacentral:tRNA from 1 species
ACUAAUGUGUCAGAUCAAUGAGUAAGAUUUAAGAUCUUAUUAUGGCUCUAAAAGCCUUUUAGUA